rnacentral:lncRNA from 1 species
UUUUCUCAUCCACUUUCUUCUUUUGUCCUCCUCCUCAAGCUCAUCCAUGACUCUUCCUUCUCCUUCCUCUUUUUCUUCGCCCACUUCUUCUCUACCUCUUCCUCCAAGCCUGCUCAUGACUCUCUUCCUCUAUGGUGGCUUCCUCCACUUCUGCUGUUCCUUGCCAGCAACCCCUCUUUCUCCCCCCUCUCCUUCCUCUUCCUCUACUUC